UGCAUAUCAAUAAGCGGAGGAAAAGAAACCAACAGGGAUUGCCCUAGUAACGGCGAGUGAAGCGGCAACAGCUCAAAUUUGAAAUCUGGCCUCGGCCCGAGUUGUAAUUUGCAGAGGAAGCUUUGGGCGCGGCACCGACCGAGUCCCCUGGAACGGGGCGCCAUAGAGGGUGAGAGCCCCGUAUGGUCGGACGCCUAGCCUGUGUAAAGCUCCUUCGACGAGUCGAGUAGUUUGGGAAUGCUGCUCAAAAUGGGAGGUAAAUUUCUUCUAAAGCUAAAUACCGGCCAGAGACCGAUAGCGCACAAGUAGAGUGAUCGAAAGAUGAAAAGCACUUUGAAAAGAGGGUUAAAUAGCACGUGAAAUUGUUGAAAGGGAAGCGCUUGUGACCAGACUUGCGCCCGGCUGAUCAUCCGGUGUUCUCACCGGUGCACUCUGCCGGGCUCAGGCCAGCAUCGGUUCUCGCGGGGGGACAAAGGCCCUGGGAACGUAGCUCCUCCGGGAGUGUUAUAGCCCUGGGUGCAAUGCCCUCGCGGGGACCGAGGUUCGCGCAUCUGCAAGGAUGCUGGCGUAAUGGUCACCAGCGACCCGUCUUGAAACACGGACCA
rnacentral:rRNA from 1 species